CCAGGUAGAGAUGAAAAUGGCCUUUGGUGAUAAAGUAAUCUUGUCCAUGUUUCUAAACUUCCAGGAUCAAGCAUCCUGAAAUCAGCUGCAUACCCCAUCCACAAGAAAAAUAUGGGAAAGAAAAUUGUGGUCAAUAUAUAGUUGAUUUUUCUGAUAAUCCAUUUGGAAACUCUACCUUCCCUGGGAAGACAAAUUCCUGUUAUGAAAGCACUUAGAAUUGGACUAUACUCAUACAGAGUUGAGGAGGCACACAUGAGGACCAUGAAGGCAAGUGACAGCACCAAGUGUGAACCUUUCAUGGGUUUCCCUUCAGGAUUUU